rnacentral:misc_RNA from 1 species
UGGUAGCACUGCCAUUUCCUCUGGGAGGUUUGGGGGUAUUUAGAAGCCACAGUUCGGUGGUUUCUGAAGUACCUGGACAGAUAAGGCAGAAGUAUGUAAAAUAAGUUGCCUGCUUUGUCCGAUAUAAUGGAUAGCGUUUCAAGUUUUGAAUUUGGUGUUUGGGUUAAUGUUUCUGAUCUUUCUCUGUACAGAAUGCUGGGAUCAUAAAUAGCAUCAUUUAUAGUAGGACGCUAUGAUCACUGCUACAUUAUCUAUCUCAAAGUAGAUCUCUUCGUUUUUCGUUUUUGUUCUCUCACCACACCUUCAUCCUGUUCAAAUAGUUAUUUUAUUAUGUUAUAUUAUGCUUUUGGUUUGUAGGUUCUAUAACUGGAUUUUGUUUUGCCAAAUGAUGUAUGAUUGUAUUUUCCUUAUAUUGUGGUCAUACUGAGUAGAAAUGCAAUUAUGCAUUUGUUAAGGAUCUUCUCUAGGUGCAGUUUCUUCGCAAGCGCCACAAAUCGGGGCAUUGUGUUCUGCAAUUGAGGGAUAAUGAAAGCUCUGGUGUUUGUCUUCUAUGGGUAUGUUGUUUUCUCAUGUGCUGGGUUUCUACUUUGUCUUUUCCACUGUUAGAUUAGAUCUAAUCCAUUCAUCCAAAUCCAGUGGUGAUUUGCGGUGGAUUAAUUGAGACUUUGGGUUCGACCUGGCCAAAGGGCUGAAUCAGAUCAGAAUCAACUUGCAACCAGUGGCUCUGAUUUAAGGUUCAGGAAAA